rnacentral:lncRNA from 1 species
UUUGUAGACGUAGUGUUUCUUUGGUGGUGGUGGAGAAUGGUAAACUGGAGGGGGAGAGUAGUGCUUAACCGGAGGAGGAGGUGAUUUGUAGACGUAGUGUUUCUUGGGUGGGGGUGGAGAGUGAUAAACCGGUGGGGGAGAGUAGUGUUUGACUGGAGGAGGAGGUGACUUGUACACGUAGUGUUUCUUUGGUGGGGGUGGAGAGUGAUAAACCGGUGGGGGAGAGUAGUGAUUAACGGGAGGAGGGGGAGACUUGUACACGUAGUGUUUCUUGGGUGGUGGUGGAGAGUGGUAAACCGGAGGAGGAGAGUAGUGUUUAACCGGAGGAGGAGGUGACUUGUACACGUAGUGCUUCUUGGGUGGGGGUGGGGAAUGGUAUACCGGUGGAGGUGAGUAGUGUUUAACCGGUGGAGGAGAGUAGUGUUUGACCGGAGGAGAGUAGUGUUUAACCGGCGGUGGUGGAGAAGAAUAGAAAUAGUUAGCGGUAGAUUGAGAUACAAAGGUGAAAGAGAUUGUUAAGACAAGCAAAGCUGCCACUAAAGAGGCCAUUGGAGACCCCAUUGGUUGUUUUUGUUUUGGUUUGUGUUUGUGAUAUUGUAGUGUCUUUCCCCUCAGACCCUUUAAAU